GGAGUAAAAGUCGUAACAAGGUUUCCGUAGGUGAACCUGCGGAAGGAUCAUUAACGAGUUAGGGUCUUUCAGGCCCGACCUCCCAACCCUAUGUUUAUUGAACCUCUGUUGCUUCGGCGGACCCGUCUCACGACCGCCGGAGGACCGCCGAGAGCCAACCACUUAACACUCUGAAUAAAUCAUGUCAUUAUGUCUAAGCCUAUGAUUAAAUUAAAGCAAAACUUUCAACAACGGAUCUCUUGGUUCUG
rnacentral:misc_RNA from 1 species